rnacentral:rRNA from 1 species
UAACCGAGCGCAACCCUCGCUGUGUGUUAUAUGUGUCACACAGGGACUGGCCUGGGUAUUUAAAGCCGGAGGAAGGUGGGGACGACGGUCAAGUCAGCAUGACCUUUAUAUCCAGGGCUACACACACGCUACAAAUGGUCAGUACAAUGGGUUGCCAAGCCGCGAGGCGGAGCCAAUCCUAAAAAGCUGGCCUCAGUUCAGAUUGCAGUCUGAAACUCGACUGCAUGAAGUCGGAGUUGCUAGUAAACGCAGGUCAGCUAUACUGCGUUGAAUACGUUCCCGGGGCUU